UACGAAGGGUGCAAACGUUGCUCGGAAUUAUUGGGCGUAAAGCGCACGUAGGCGGCUUGGCAAGUCGGAUGUGAAAUCCCUCGGCUCAACCAAGGAAGUGCAUCCGAAACUGCCGAGCUUGAGUACUUAAGAGGAUCGCGGAAUUCCCGGUGUAGAGGUGAAAUUCGUAGAUAUCGGGAGGAACACCAGUGGCGAAGGCGGAGACCUGGGCCGAUACUGACGCUGAGGUGCGAAAGCGUGGGGAGCAAACAGG
rnacentral:rRNA from 1 species